AUUCUUUUGUAGUUCAUGAGCGUAAUGGUUGGGUAUUCACGCAUGUAUGUGAGAUGUGCUACCCUCGAACCUUGUUAAAAGAAAAAACAGCUAAUAUUGUAUUAGUAUAUAUCUGUGUGACU
ensembl:snoRNA